rnacentral:lncRNA from 1 species
UCUAGCUUCCCUUUAUAUAUUGCUUACUGCCACUAAAAUGUAAACUCCCUGAGGGCAGGGACUCUCUUACUUGUUAGUAUUUUUAUCCUCAGUGUCUAGCCUACUGACUGACUCAUAGAAGAUGCUUAAUAGAUGCCUUUUCAUUCAUUCAUUCAUUCAUUCAAGUCAUUGGCAUAUCUAGAUAUUUCUCUGACUCUUCCCUUGUUAAUACUAGUUUAGAUAGAGAAAAUGUAAUGCUAGCUUGUACCCCUUUCUUUGGUACCCCAAGAUUAACUUUGGAUUUUAAAAAGGCUGAGUUUUGAUAUUAAGUUUGAAAUUACAGCUUAACCCACCCUCUGACUGAAUUAAGAAAGUGGAUAGCAGAAAGGUGGUGGAAAUAGAGAGGAGUGAACAUGGACCCCCUGCAGCCAUUCUAAAGAUCUUGUGAUUCCUGGCAUCCAGAAGACCCUUGUUUCUUACCCAUCAUUGUGACUUCCUGGCAUCCAGACCACCUACCUCUUGCCCAGGGUGAGGUUGGAGCGCUCCAAUCAGAGAGGCUUUGGAAAGGGAUGUCACAAAGACCAUAAAUUUAAGUAUAGAGAGGAAGUAGGAACUUUUUUAGGGGAAUCAGAGGUAAAAGGUAUGCAUAAACCUGGAUCUUGGGUCUCAGCUCAUGGUCAGGCUCUUGGAGGAGGCAAUGGCCAGCCCCAGGGAAUGUCUGAGAACUAUGCCUCGUGGACCUGCUGGGACUUACUGCAAAGUUCCAGGAAAGGCAAUCAAGAAGAGGAUUAUUAAAUCAUUAGUUCAGAGCUAGAAGGAAUUUUUUAAGGUCAUCGAGUCAAAUCCCCUGAUUUCACAGAUGUGCAGAAAGCACCCUGGAUUUAUUUGUUGGGACAACAGAAAUUGACUAAGGUAAUGUUGGCACUCUAAAGAAGGGGAAGGACACUCAUCAGACUGAAAAUCAGAGCACUGUUCAGUAUUUACUUUUCAAUCUAAUGCCUAGCAAGAAAUUAAGUAAAUAACUUCAUCUCAAACAAUCACUUAAAAUAUAUCAAAUCCCCAAAAAGCAAAUUUGUGAUGAAACUACCUGGCUAAAAAAGAAGUGGGUUAACUCUGGAACUCCAAGAAAGCUAGGAAUAACUUGAAGAGCAUCCUUAUGCUGAUUUCCCCCUUCUCUGCCUCAGUAUUUCCAUCUAUGGUAUGGGAGAAAUAGUUGUUUCCCAGAGUGAAUCAUUUAUGACCUUCAAUAUUUAAAUCCCAUUAAGGAAGAAUUUAUGAAAAUUUAUGAAAAAUUCAAACAUAGUCUAGUCUGAACUAUGCAUUUGCACAAUAAUAUAUAUUUUAAACCCUUACCUUCUGUCUUGGAUUCAUUACUGUGUAUUGGUUCCAAGGCAGAAGAGUGGUGAGGGUUAGGCAAUGGAGGUUAAGUGACUUGUCCAGGGUCACACAGCUGGGAGUGC